rnacentral:rRNA from 1 species
GUGCCAGCAGCCGCGGUAAUACGUAGGGGGCCAGCGUUGUCCGGAUUCAUUGGGCGUAAAGAGCGUGUAGGCGGCCAGGUAGGUCCGACGUGAAAACUGGAGGCUCAACCUCCAGCUGUCGUCGGAAACCCUCUGGCUAGAGUCCGGAAGAGGAGAGCGGAAUUCCUGGUGUAGCGGUGAAAUGCGCAGAUAUCAGGAAGAACACCGAUGGCGAAGGCAGCUCUCUGGGACGGUACUGACGCUGAGACGCGAAAGCGUGGGGAGCGAACAGGAUUAGAAACCCCCGUAGUCC